UUGGGCUAUAGCCAAGCGGUAAGGCAACGGACUUUGACUCCGUCACUCGUUGGUUCGAAUCCAGCUAGCCCAGNC
rnacentral:tRNA from 1 species